rnacentral:rRNA from 1 species
UACGUAGGUGGCAAGCGUUAUCCGGAUUUACUGGGUGUAAAGGGCGUGUAGGCGGGAUGGUAAGUCAGAUGUGAAAACUAUGGGCUCAACCCAUAGCCUGCAUUUGAAACUAUCGUUCUUGAGUGUUGGAGAGGCAGGCGGAAUUCCGUGUGUAGCGGUGAAAUGCGUAAAUAUAUGUAAGAACACCGGUGGCGAAGGCGACUCACUGGACUGUAACUGACGCUGAGGCUCGAAAGCGUGGGGAGCAAACAGG